rnacentral:sRNA from 1 species
GCCUGUUGCGCGGCAUAUGCCGCAUUCUGUUGCGCCUGCUGAGCGGCCAGAAACUGUUGCGAGGCAGCGGCCAGUUGCAUUUGCUGCUGCUGCUGUUGCUGCUGCUGCUGCUGCGAUUGCUGCAGUGAACCGUUGGGAGCGCCGGGCGGUGCCCCCACAGCGCUGCUUGCGGAUGUGGCCGCUGCGGCCGCGGCUGCGGCUGCUGCUGCAUUUGAGGCAGCUGCUGCAAGGCCU